UCCGUAGGUGGAUAAUUAAGUCAGAGGUGAAAUCCUGCAGCUCAACUGUAGAAUUGCCUUUGAUACUGGUUACCUUGAGUUAUUAUGAAGUAGUUAGAAUAUGUAGUGUAGCGGUGAAAUGCAUAGAUAUUACAUAGAAUACCAAUUGCGAAGGCAGAUUACUAAUAAUCAACUGACACUGAUGGACGAAAGCGUGGGGAGCGAACAGGAUUAGAUACCCUGGUAGUCC
rnacentral:rRNA from 1 species